rnacentral:rRNA from 1 species
CCCACCUCAGGCGCCAGAUCGAGCCGGACUGGUGUCGUCAUCAAGAGCCGACCUCGACGGAGAUGAGAGGAACCCUUCUUCCUCCGUCUUCCUUCGACCUCGACCUCGGCAUGUUGACCUCGCUCCAUAACAUCUCGGUGAACCACUACUGGAUGUGGCGUCGACUAAGCACUGCACAUGGCUUGCUCGCCGGCACGCGCGUGCGUGCUUCGAUGCGCGGCGCUUCGUCGAGCUGGACGGACCGCGGCAAUCGCUGGAGCCAGAGCUGGAGGAGGCGACGAGAUGCUGCUGCUGCGGCUGUGUCCUCGGAGGCAGUUGCUGCCCCUCGCCGACCUCACCAACAUCCGGCGUCCGCCAUGAGCUCCCCGCAGGACCCCUUCUACAUCGUCCGGGAGGAGAUCCAGGGCUCGAUGGGUAAGCUGCAGACUACGUUCCAUCGCUGGAAGCAAGUUUCUUCAAACCUGAUUACUUUGUCAUCAGGCUGGCUGAUUGCAUCCAGCUCAAAUUGUUCCACAUUUCUAGCUUAAGGGUUCCACUUGCACAUGAUGGCCCCCAACUCCUUAUGGCAAGCAGUUUCUCCAGCUGACAACAAGAUUUGGAAGCUGGGAAUCUGGGGAAUGCAAAGUUGAAGAGACCUGGAGUAUCUAUACUGUGAUUGCCAUUGUAUAUGUGUUAUAUGAUGAUGUAACACAAUGAUUCUGCUAUUGUAUCUUUGUUGUAUGAUGUAUCAAACUGAUUCUGGAUGUUAUGUGAAGUACUACGUGUGUUCUCUAUCUGUUCCCA